rnacentral:RNase_P_RNA from 1 species
CGAGCCGGCCGGAUGGUCGCGGCGGAAGCUCCGCUGAGGAAAGUCCGGGCUCCGCAGGGCAGGGUAGCGGGUAACUCCCGUCCGCCGUGAGGCGAGGACGAGCGCCACAGUGACGAACCACCGCGAGGUGGGUGAAACGCGGCAAGCUCUACCCGGAGAAAGGCCGAAUAGGGGGACCAUGGCGUGGCCCGCGCCGUCCCCGGGUUGGCCGCUGGAGGCGGAGGGUGACCUCCGAUCCCGAGAUGGAUGACCAUCGAAACAGGACCCGGCUUAUGGGCCGGCUCGGCAG